AGAGUUUGAUCAUGGCUCAGGACGAACGCUGGCGGCGCGCCUAACACAUGCAAGUCGAACGAGCGAGAGAGAGCUUGCUUUCUCGAGCGAGUGGCGAACGGGUGGGUAACGCGUGAGGAACCUGCCUCAAAGAGGGGGACAACAGUUGGAAACGACUGCUAAUACCUCAUAAGCCCACGGCUCGGCAUCGAGCAGAGGGAAAAGGAGCAAUCCGCUUUGAGAUGGCCUCGCGUCCGAUUAGCUAGUUGGUGAGGUAAUGGCCCACCAAGGCGACGAUCGGUAGCCGGACUGAGAGGUUGAACGGCCACAUUGGGACUGAGACACGGCCCAGACUCCUACGGGAGGCAGCAGUGGGGAAUAUUGCACAAUGGGGGAAACCCUGAUGCAGCGACGCCGCGUGGAGGAAGAAGGUCUUCGGAUUGUAAACUCCUGUUGUUGAGGAAGAUAAUGACGGUACUCAACAAGGAAGUGACGGCUAACUACGUGCCAGCAGCCGCGGUAAAACGUAGGUCACAAGCGUUGUCCGGAAUUACUGGGUGUAAAGGCAGCGCAGGCGGGAAGACAAGUUGGAAGUGAAAUCCAUGGGCUCAACCCAUGAACUGCUUUCAAAACUGUUUUUCUUGAGUAGUGCAGAGGUAGGCGGAAUUCCCGGUGUAGCGGUGGAAUGCGUAGAUAUCGGGAGGAACACCAGUGGCGAAGGCGGCCUACUGGGCACCAACUGACGCUGAGGCUCGAAAGUGUGGGUAGCAAACAGUAUUAGAUACCCUGGUAGUCCACACUGUAAACGAUGAUUACUAGGUGUUGGAGGAUUGACCCCUUCAGCGCCGCAGUUAACACAAUAAGUAAUCCACCUGGGGAGUACGACCGCAAGGUUGAAACUCAAAGAAAUUGACGGGGGCCCGCACAAGCGGUGGAGCAUGUGGUUUAAUUCGAAGCAACGCGAAGAACCUUACCAGGUCUUGACAUCUUCUGACAAUUCCAGAGAUGGAACGUUCCCUUCGGGGACAGAAUGACAGGUGGUGCAUGGUUGUCGUCAGCUCGUGUCGUGAGAUGUUGGGUUAAGUCCCGCAACGAGCGCAACCCUUAUUGUCAGUUGCCAUCAUUAAGUUGGGCACUCUGGCGAGACUGCCGGUGACAAACCGGAGGAAGGUGGGGAUGACGUCAAAUCAUCAUGCCCCUUAUGACCUGGGCUACACACGUGCUACAAUGGACGGUACAACGAGUCGCUAACUCGCGAGGGCAAGCUAAUCUCUUAAAGCCGUUCUCAGUUCGGAUUGCAGGCUGCAACUCGCCUGCAUGAAGUCGGAAUCGCUAGUAAUCGCGAAUCAGCAUGUCGCGGUGAAUACGUUCCCGGGCCUUGUACACACCGCCCGUCACACCAUGAGAGUUUGUAACACCCAAAGUCGGUGGGGUAACCUUUUGGAGCCAGCCGCCUAAGGUGGGACAGAUGAUUGGGGUGAAGUCGUAACAAGGUA
rnacentral:rRNA from 1 species